CCUACGGGGGGCAGCAGUGGGGAAUAUUGCGCAAUGGGCGAAAGCCUGACGCAGCGACGCCGCGUGAGGGAUGAAGGUCUUCGGAUCGUCAACCUCUGUCAGCAGGGACGAACGGUCACUGUGCUAAUCAGCAGUGACUUGACGGUACCUGCAAAGUAAGCACCGGCUAACUCCGUGCCAGCAGCCGCGGUAACACGGAGGGUUGGAGCGUGAAUCGGAAUUACUGGGCGUAAAUCGCUCGUAGGCGGUAUGUCAAGUCAAGGGUGAAAUCCCCGCGCGCAACGUGGGAACUGCAUUUGAAACUGGCAAACUGGAGUGUGUGAGAGGAUGGUGGAAUUCCAGGUGUAGGAGUGAAAUCCGUAGAUAUCAGGAGGAACAUCAGUGGCGAAGGCGACUAUCUGGCACAUAACUGACGCUGAGGAGCGAAAGCGUGGGUAGCAAACAGGAUUAGAUACCCGAGUAGUC
rnacentral:rRNA from 1 species